ensembl:lncRNA
GUAUAGAAUAUAUCAUUCUUUCCCCAUAGGAGUUCAUGUCUUCUGGAGAUGACACUGAAAUGUAUAUUAAGUUCUGAGAGGCUGUUGUGGCCUGGCUCAUCUGCAUGUAUGUGGCCUUGGAGGCAGCCUCACUGGGGUUGCCUCUAACCUGUGCAGACAGAGCCCGCCAGACUCCUCCAUCCCUGGGAUUCUCCAGGCAAGAACACUGGAGUGGGUUGCCAUUUCCUUCUCCAAUGCAUGAAAGGGAAAAGUGAAAGGGAAGUCGCUCAGUCGUGUCCUACUCUUCGCGAUCCCAUGGACUGCAGCCCACCAGGCUCCUCCGUCCAUGGGAUUUUCCAGGAGACAUUUAACUAUGUCUGCAGACACAGUGGAUGAUCACGACGACAGUGGGGGAGCUGCUGGCAUCCAGUGGGUAGAGGCCAGGCAUGCUGCUACAUAGCCUAUGAUGACAGGACAGCCUCCCUCAAUAAGGAAUUAUCUGGCCCCCCUGUUCAUAGAGUUGAGCCCCUGGCAACCAAUGUUUUUCUGUCUCUUUGAGAUAGAUUGAAGGGGACAACAGAGGAUGAGAUGGUUGGAUGGCAACACUGACUCGAUGGAUAUGAGUUUGAGCAAGCUCCGGGAGUUGGUGAUGGACAGGGAAGCCUGGGGUGCCACAGUCUGUGGG